rnacentral:rRNA from 1 species
GACGAACGCUGGCGGCGUGCCUAAUACAUGCAAGUAGAACGCACAGUUUAUACCGUAGCUUGCUACACCAUAGACUGUGAGUUGCGAACGGGUGAGUAACGCGUAGGUAACCUGCCUGGUAGCGGGGGAUAACUAUUGUAAACGAUAGCUAAUACCGCAUAAUAUUGAUUAUUGCAUGAUAAUUGAUUGAAAGAUGCUAUUGCAUCACUACCAGAUGGACCUGCGUUGUAUUAGCUAGUAGGUGAGGUAACGGCUCACCUAGGCGACGAUACAUAGCCGACCUGAGAGGGUGAUCGGCCACACUGGGACUGAGACACGGCCCAGACUCCUACGGGAGGCAGCAGUAGGGAAUCUUCGGCAAUGGACGAAAGUCUGACCGAGCAACGCCGCGUGAGUGAAGAAGGUUUUCGGAUCGUAAAGCUCUGUUGUAAGAGAAGAACGGGUGUGAGAGUGGAAAGUUCACACUGUGACGGUAUCUUACCAGAAAGGGACGGCUAACUACGUG